UAAGGAAUAUUGGUCAAUGGACGCAAGUCUGAACCAGCCAUGCCGCGUGGAGGAUGAAGGUCCUCUGGAUUGUAAACUUCUUUUAUCUGGGACGAAACACUCCUAUUCUUAGGGGCCUGACGGUACCAGAUGAAUAAGCACCGGCUAGCUCCGUGCCAGCAGCCGCGGUAAUACGGAGGGUGCAAGCGUUAUCCGGAUUCACUGGGUUUAAAGGGUGCGUAGGUGGGUAUGUAAGUCAGUGGUGAAAUCCCCGAGCUUAACUUGGGAACUGCCAUUGAUACUAUAUAUCUUGAAUACCGUAGAGGUAAGCGGAAUAUGUCAUGUAGCGGUGAAAUGCUUAGAUAUGACAUGGAACACCAAUUGCGAAGGCAGCUUACUAUGCGGUGAUUGACACUGAGGCACGAAAGCGUGGGUAGCAAACA
rnacentral:rRNA from 1 species